GCCCCGGUAGCUCAGCCCGGUCGGAGCGCCCGGGGCCUGCCGCGCGCAACAGCGGGAGGUCCCGGGUUCGAAUCCCGGCCGGGGCU
rnacentral:tRNA from 1 species